rnacentral:rRNA from 1 species
GAUGAACGCUGGCGGCGUGCCUAAUACAUGCAAGUAGAACGCUGAAGCUUGGUGCUUGCACCGAGCGGCUGAGUUGCGAACGGGUGAGUAACGCGUAGGUAACCUGCCUCUUAGCGGGGGAUAACUAUUGGAAACGAUAGCUAAUACCGCAUAAAAGUCGACAUCGCAUGAUGUUGACUUGAAAGGUGCAAUUGCAUCACUAAGAGAUGGACCUGCGUUGUAUUAGCUAGUUGGUGAGGUAACGGCUCACCAAGGCGACGAUACAUAGCCGACCUGAGAGGGUGAUCGGCCACACUGGGACUGAGACACGGCCCAGACUCCUACGGGAGGCAGCAGUAGGGAAUCUUCGGCAAUGGGGGCAACCCUGACCGAGCAACGCCGCGUGAGUGAAGAAGGUUUUCGGAUCGUAAAGCUCUGUUGUAAGAGAAGAACGAGUGUGAGAGUGGAAAGUUCACACUGUGACGGUAACUUACCAGAAAGGGACGGCUAACUACGUG